rnacentral:rRNA from 1 species
ACAAGUAGUCAGAGCCCGUUAAUGGGUGAUGGCGUGCCUUUUGUAGAAUGAACCGGCGAGUUACGAUUUGAUGCAAGGUUAAGCAGUAAAUGUGGAGCCGUAGCGAAAGCGAGUCUGAAUAGGGCGUUUAGUAUUUGGUCGUAGACCCGAAACCAGGUGAUCUACCCUUGGUCAGGUUGAAGUUCAGGUAACACUGAAUGGAGGACCGAACCGACUUACGUUGAAAAGUGAGCGGAUGAACUGAGGGUAGCGGAGAAAUUCCAAUCGAACCUGGAGAUAGCUGGUUCUCUCCGAAAUAGCUUUAGGGCUAGCCUCAAGUGAUGAUUAUUGGAGGUAGAGCACUGUUUGGACGAGGGGCCCCUCUCGGGUUACCGAAUUCAGACAAACUCCGAAUGCCAAUUAAUUUAACUUGGGAGUCAGAACAUGGGUGAUAAGGUCCGUGUUCGAAAGGGAAACAGCCCAGACCACCAGCUAAGGUCCCAAAAUAUAUGUUAAGUGGAAAAGGAUGUGGCGUUGCCCAGACAACUAGGAUGUUGGCUUAGAAGCAGCCAUCAUUUAAAGAGUGCGUAAUAGCUCACUAGUCGAGUGACACUGCGCCGAAAAUGUACCGGGGCUAAACAUAUUACCGAAGCUGUGGAUUGUCCUUUGGACAAUGGUAGGAGAGCGUUCUAAGGGCGUUGAAGCAUGAUCGUAAGGACA